GGAGAGAUGACCGAGUGGCCGAAGGUGCCUGAUUCGAAAUCAGGUGUGCGGGUGACCGUACCGUGGGUUCGACUCCCACUCUCUCCG
rnacentral:tRNA from 1 species